GUUUUGCAGCCUGGGAGGUUUUAAUUUUCCCAAUUUCUUGUCCCACAGUUUCACUUUGGUCCAUUGACGUUUCCCUGUUAUUGACCCCCGGCAGCCAAAGGCUUGGAAUGGCAGGAGAGACUUAAUGAGGCACUUUCCAUGUCCCUCAUGGAAAGUGGUUCAGGAACCUCUGAGUGAAAUUGUUUUCCUGUCCUGCAAAAUACUUCAGAAACUUUGGAUUCCUGAUUGAGGCUGCUGCUUGGACUGUUUUCCAUCUCCUUCUAACACACGGAGCUCCAUUAAGAGA